rnacentral:rRNA from 1 species
GACGAAGGGGGCUAGCGUUGUUCGGAAUUACUGGGCGUAAAGCGCGCGUAGGCGGCUUUUCAAGUCAGACGUGAAAGCCUCAGGCUUAACCUGGGAACUGCGUUUGAUACUGUUAAGCUAGAGUGUGGAAGGGGCUACUGGAAUUCCGUGUGUGGCGGUGAAAUGCGUAGAUAUACGGAGGAACACCAGCGGCGAAGGCGGGUAGCUGGGCCAACACUGACGCUGAUGCGCGAAAGCUAGGGUAGCAAACGGG